rnacentral:lncRNA from 10 species
AGAUGCUGAACAGAUGCCAGUGCAAUGCUUUUGGUACUUCUCAGUCUGCAGAACGUAGAGAAACAUAUGUCACAGAAAGAAAAUAAGAAGUGAAAUAACAUGAAUUGAUGAGAAAAAAGCAAUUUUAAACAUAACUUGACAAUGCUUAGAGGGAAGAAAAAAGAUAAGAUAAAGAAAAAUAUUCUACCAGACACAUGGGAAUCAGUGACAAGGCCUGACAUAUACAUUACGGGAGCACCAGAAGACGCAGUAGAAUGAAUGUGUCAAUGGCAACAGUUGAAGAUAUACUGAAAAAUUGAUGGACAAAAUGCCAAAGAUUCAUCACGUUCUUUGAACUCCAAGCAGAAUAAAUAGAUAAGUAGAAAGGAAAUCACAUUUAGACAAAUGCAUAGCAAAACUCCAAAGGAGCAAGGAAAAAGUCU